rfam:Ictidomys tridecemlineatus contig033736, whole genome shotgun sequence.
GGGGAUGUGGCUCAAGCGGUAGGGUGCUCGCCUGGCAUGCGUGGGGCCCUGGGUUCGAUCCUCAGCACCACAA